rnacentral:lncRNA from 1 species
AACUCAUUUUUUAAUAAAUAAAAUGGAUGAUUAAAUAUAUAUAUUUUAACCAUUUUGCCACCCGAUGUACCUUAGAAGUGGAAUUAGAAUAUGAGCAAACAGUGUAUUUCCAGUCAUAUGAAUAUAUUUAACUCUUCUUUUUUAACCCCUCUCAUAACCCAGAACAGGCCGAUUUCAAUGGCUGGAAUACAUAGACACCUCUUAACUUUUUAGUAAAAAUUGUUUAGACGCCUCAACUAGGACCAUGACCUAUCUACCGCUCGAUUGAAGUUUGCAGCAUAGCAGAGUUGUGGAUUUAGUAUGCAGAUUAGUUAAAACAGGGUAAGAUGGCAAAAUGCUCAAACACUUGAGAAAAGAGGUAUGUGAAGUGUUUCUGUUACAACAGUCAAUAUGUGAAGUCUUUAUUAAAAACGUAUUGCAAUACCACAUGCCCUUGAAAUUAGAUAAGUGUGUUUAACUCAGCUAAAUGUUGGUAGGGAAAUUGGAAUAGAUUUGUCUAAAAUUAAGAGUAACAAAUUGGAUUGGAUCAUUCAUCUCAACUUUCCCUGUGGAAUCAUAGAUUAGUGUGUUUAACUCAACGCAUGAGUUUAUUAGUUAAAAACCAUAGAAUUCUGUAUUAAUUUUGUCCUCAACCUAUGCUUCUUAGUUUACAGUUUCUUUCCUUCUUUAUAAGCUCUCAGUUUUCUUUAAGUAAUUAUUAUGUUCUUAGGUAAGUGGCCUACUGUGAUCGUGCUAGAAAUAAUAAAAUGAGAAUUAUGAAGACAAGUUAAUCAAGUUGUCACUUUUCACUAAGUGUCUUGCUUCAAGAAGGGGAUCUUAUCGCGACGUGUAAGAGUUGUCGCUGUGUGAAAAGGAAAUCAUGUGUUCUAGCCGUGCAAAGUGCAAACAACAUCUUGCAAAAAUGCAAAGUAAGGUUUUGAACAAUAGACCAAAUGUGUUCGGCCCCUCUCUAGACCCCACACAUAGUGGGAGGUUAGUGCACCGGGCUGCCCUUAUUUUUAUAUAUCUUGUUUCAAAAUUUCUUAACUGAUCAUGGGAUGUUUGGAAAUAUAACCUUUCUUUAUUAAUUUAGAUGCUAUGUUCUAGCAUCACUCUGGUGUGUUUGUCUGGCUCUUUCUCUAGGUUGGGCAUAAGUGUGUGUGCUUCUAGCUUGUAAAAUGUAAAAUCAAAAGCUGAUAACAGGAGAAUCUUAGUAGUCCAGUUGAUUGGCUACUUGAAUUUUCACCUUGUUGGUGGGGGUUCGAUUCCCCUCCUUGCAAUAUCUUCCCCCAUUUCCCCUUCCCCUCCUGCUAUGCACAAUGAAAAAAAUGAUAACAAUAACUAUAUAAGAGCUGUAACAUUACCGAGAUAUGGUGUGUUUCUCACGUAGAAAGAUGACCAUUGUGUCGUUUCUUCUUGACUUAUUAGUGAUGAUAUCUUUUUGAUUCCCUCUUCAAUUCAGUUCUAGGAAUUGGGUCUUAUGUGAACAACACAUACUGAAGAAGAUGAGUGAGUCUAAGAAUUGGUUGGUUAGUAGAAAUCAUGAUCUAAGGAAGCAAGGAUCAAAUGAGGGAUUUUUUCAAACAUGUAAACUUGAGAAAUUAGCUGUACUAAAAUUUGUUGCCGCUGGUAUGUUCAACUUGUGUGAUUUCAGAUUCAGCAAUCCAUUUAUGUCAUGUGACUUCAGAUUGAAAUACUAUUGGGAAUUCCCUUUCCAGUAAGUCCAGUAGUACUCUUGUCACCUGACGCGUUUGGGUACAGUAACGUAUAAGGCAUCUGUAUAGGUCCUUUUCGGUUCUUCAAUGUAUUGUCGUUGUUCCUAUCCAUUAUUCUGUUCUCGAUUUCUACCAGUUUGUCAUGGAAUCCCUCAAAUGCAUGUCGUGGUUUACUAUCAGAAGUCCAUUCAGGAGCAUCUCUUUGUCCAAGAUAAAUCUCAUCUGAAGAAUGCAUGGAUAACAUCUCUAUCAAAGAGAUGCCAAGAAGAGUUUGGAACUGGGCUGUGAUGGUCUUUAGGUAGGCUCGCUCAUGGUUUGACUCAAGCUCAACAUACUCAGGAGUGCCUGGCAUUGGCAUAAAGCGCCGGCUUACGGUUGGGCGAUUUGGGAGAUAACCAGCAUAAGGAUAUUGCCCAAAAUUAACUGCUGCAUGAAGAGCAGAAGCCACCCAUAUGAUUAUGGUGCAUGUUUGGACAAGCUCAGCUCUUGUCUGCAUCUGAGGCCACCAUGGUUCAUCUUUCAAGUCACCAUGACCCACGUUGCGAACUUCUGUCCACCAUGAUUGAAGUUCAGGAUCAUCUUGGAUCAUUUCAUCCGCUAUGUAAUAGAAUGAGCAAUACUCUUCCACCCAGGUUUCAAUUGCUGACCAAAUCUCAAGUCCAUCAACGGCGUAAGGAUAAUCCUCUAUCAGAAGUCUAAGGCCAUGAGGCUGGCUUGGGUCUGGUACUGCAACUCCUCUAUAAAUUAAAAAUAAUUGAGAGCAUUACUUGGACAAGAUGGAUAUGACAUUGAAUUUUAAGCUGUAACAACUAGUGACCUACCUCUUAAGUAGAUCUGCAGGGAGUGCCUGCUCAGUGAACACCCAAUUCUUAUAGAUGGAAGAAGACAUUUCCAUGGCAUACUUGGAUGGAAAUACUGUCAACUCAAGUAUUCCACCUGCAUUAAUGAGGAUCUGCCGAGCCAAAGCAUUGAUGUUCAUUGUAUCACGGAAGUGGGGAUGUAGAAGCUUAUAGAUUGGAUGAAGCACACUCAAUUGUCUGUUUGUUGCUAUAAUAAAUGGCUCUAAAGCUGCAUGGGUAUUCAACCUGCAAAGUAUGUAACAAAAUUAAUGUAGUGACUUCAAGAGGUGACCUGCUUCUAUAGUUUCUACCUUUUCAUCUGCUUUGUUAAGUAGCUCACCAGUGACUGACGAGCUGAUGAUACCCAGAAUCAUUUACAGCAACAUAGGCUUUAGCCAGAUGCCAGACAUAGCCUUCAGCACUCUCAUCAUUACAUGGGGUAAAUACUUGACUGCUGGAACCAUGUUUAUCUCCUUGUGGGUGUGGUAAGCUCAGUUCGAUUGCAAGUGGCUUCAAUGUUCCAUCAUCUUGGAGUAAAAGGAGGGUCCGACUAGCAUAGAUCUUAUUGGAUGUUGAGUUAAUCCGAUUAAGAUAAGGCAUAAGCCCGUCAUGAUAAUCUAAGAUGAAUAGCCUGUUAUACUUUAUUGCCUGUGACCACAAAAGAUAAAUGUGUAAAAUAUAUAGAAUCUAAAAUGGAAACAGAUGAAUAGUUUCCAUAUACAAAGGAUGCCUUGGUUUUCUCUUCCUUUCUUUAUGAUAAAUCACCAGAAAAAAGUUGGUCCUCAGAAAAAGAAAAAAAAAACAGAAAAAGAAAUGAAGAAUGAGUAUUACAUCAUCCACAGUUAGUCCAUCCAUGUAUUUCUCAAUCUGCUCUCUUGUGAUUUUACUAGUUUGGUUGCCAUAUACUUCAGGAUUUAGCUUGCUUGUGGGUGGAAAUUCCUGAUAGGCAUUUAGUCUUUUAGUAUCUGCAUUCAAAGAGUACAAAAACACAUAGAAAAGAUAAAAAAAUUCGUAAUUGAUAUUACCUGGAGACGCUGGAUAAUCACAGGAUUGACUCCAGCCAGCAUUUCACGUCCAAACUCUUCAUCUGUCCUCCAUGCAGAGUUAUCUUCUGUAUUUUUUUUUUUUUUGGGAAAGGGUUCACAAUUAAUUUACUUUUUCACCUUAGGAAGUACUCAGAGGCUAAAGUAGUUGUGGAGCCAGAGAAAGAGAACACAUAAGCACCUUUAAUUACAUGAGGAAUUGGAAAUUUAUGAAGUUGUCCUUUAAGCAUCUCCCAUGGCAUGCUUUCCGUGGAGUUAUCAGGAACUCGACCUUUAUAGACUUUUUGUACAUGUUUGAAGCUGUUAAACUCAUUAAAAGGUUUGGCUAACAGAGAUGCAAGCUGUGGAAUUAUGACCCGACCCAUUGAUUUGGCACCAUAUCGAAGGAAAUCCAUAAAUUUCACAUGGUUGAAACGUUCAUCUCGUGGAACAUAAAUGUUCAAACUCAGAAGUGGAAGCCGGCUCUCUAAGCUAGAAUCUGUAACAGCAAACUUAACUCUUUCAACAUGUUCUAUUAGUGGUUCUAAGACAACACCUGGAAAUAUGAUGACAUUAAUAUGUUUGCAGCCUAACCUCUUUUAGUCAGUGGACGGCCCGUUCUUCCCCUUCGGGGGUAUGGAUAAUCCUUUCCCCCACCAAGCACUGGUCGACCAUGUCCUAAAUCAUUGUAGACUGCAUAGUCGUAAACCCUGUCCCAUUCCUCGAGUUUGCCAGAACCUGUACCCUGAAGAUUAAUGAGCUCCUCAUUCCUGUAUGGCCGAAGGGGUUCUGGUGUGUUGCAUGGCAGGUAUGUCUGAUAACACCAAAAAUUAGAGAUUCAGUCUCUAUCAUGAUCCAUAAGUUUGAAUUAAAUCCUGUACGCACGACUUGGUUAAGAUUUAGUAUGUCAGUGUAGGUAUAAUGUGAGAUUAGAGAACUUCAACUAGUUUGGAUUGAGGAAUAGUUGAUUGAUUGAUAUGACAGUCUUAUUUUCAUCUAUAUAAAAACUCUAGGUUUACAUAGCCUUCUAUCCUGUCAUACUUUAGGACUGUCAUCAUAAUCCUGUAAGUCAGGAAGUUCAGAACUAUUUUGAAGAGGAACAUAUCUUAUUUAACUUGAAAAUGUAUUUUUUUUUUUUUUUGUGUAUCUGGGAAUCAUACAGUUAGGUUUAACCUAUCAGUAUGUAUUUUUUGCCUAGAAAAUUGAAGUGCAUCCUCAACCUUAGUGCUUUCUUCUGCAAUUACGUGUAAUAAGCUCUGCCAGUUCCUGUUGAGUGAUUACAAUGUUUUGCAGGCAUCAUAUAGAUUCCUGGAGUAAGGUUAAGAAAUAUGAAUACCUUGUUGCUAAAAAACACCCGAUCGUACUUGUAGCGAUGUGCUGGAUACACCCAAGAAUUGCAGACGAAACGAACUUCACCAUGUCCGGGAAUAUCUUCUAAAGCAACGGUCUUCAGGUAAAACUGGCUAUGAUGAUAGUUCUUUAUAAUGAAAGCACCUGGAACUCCUAUUGACUCAUCCAACUCAAAUGUAAUAUUGAAUGUAGCUUCUUCCACUGAUAUCCAAGUCUUGCUGGAUGUCCAGUCCAAAAUUGCUGGUUUUCCCACCUUCCCUUUUGAUCCAUUUCCUUUAAGAAUGAAAAAAAAAAAUUGUGCUUCAAUGUUACUGUACAGAAUAACAUACAUUCUGCAUUUAUUGCAUUAAGGCUUCCAAAUUAAUCCGAAGUAGUUGAUUUCAAACAUUUAAACGACUGCAGAGAAGGAACUAUCAAGGUUUUCUUAUGGUAUUUUUGCUUCUAAAUGGGAGGAAACCAGGGAAAUAAAACCUUUAGAUUUAUUCUGCUGCUUACUUUCGCAAAAUUUGUUGGUGAAAAUGGAAUAACCAGGCAUUCAGAAUUCAGGUAGUGGAGGUUCAGGAGUUAAAAUUUUGAAACUCCAGAAUAAGAGUUUGUUACUAAAAUGGCGUCGGAGGUUUAAUGAUUUUAACAAUGAACUAUGGAACAAUGUUAUAACCAUUAAAUAUAUGGUAAGAAUGAGGAGAGGUGCACUAACAGUGUAAGAGGUGUGUAUGGUGUAUCUGUUUGGAAGCCUACUAGGAGUCUAUGGGAAGAAUUUUAUGACUGUUUAAGCUGAAAGUUGGCAAUGGAAGAAGAGUGAAGAUGUGGUCAAAUAGGUGGCUAUGACACUUCCUUAAUUGAGCAGUUUCCAGAUCUUUAUGCAAUCAUAUCGAACAAGCACUCUAUGGCUGAUUUCUACUUUUAUUUAAGAAGGAACUUGGAUGACUGGGAGAUUGAUUGCAUAAAUGACUUCAUUCAACAGCUAAAACCUGUCUCUAUUUGAUGAUCAGGUGGCUGAUUCUUUGUUGCGGACGGUUAAGAAAAUGGUAAAUGUACUGUCAAAGUAAUGUUAUAAAAGCCUCUUGAGGAAAAUAGGUGGAAUCCAUGACUGUUGACCGUGGAAGAUAAUCUGGAAAUCUAUUGUCCCCGUAGAGCUGCUUGCUCCACUGCACUGUUACCAAGAAAAUAUGGUCAAUGUUCCGGAGCAUUUUUGGAGUCCAAUUGGUUACGCCAGGAAGAAUAAAACUUGCCUUACACAGCUCGUAUGCACAGCCAUUUGCUAGGGGCAGCAAACACUGCUGCAAUGCAGUUCCUACUUGCAUAUUCUGAAUACUUGACUAGAUAGAAAGCAACAGAUGUUUUAAUGAUAAGAGUGAUAACAUUGCAAAUGUAAUAUCUAGAUGCUGUACGGAUCUUUCUUUGUGGUGUGGGAAGAACAUUGUAUCUGACAUAAUAACUAACAAGUAUAAUAACUAACAAGUUUGUUUGCAUCUCUUUGCUCAGCUCUAGGGAGAAAAUGUAAAUUACCAGGAUCAGCAUGGACAUCACUAAUGAGCUCUAGGAUGACGCGUUUGCCAAAGAGCUCGUGCAUUCGAUCAAGGAAGGCAGAACCAGCAUCCUUGAAGUUCAAUACAUUUUUCUUCCUCAGUAC